AGCAGCCGCGGUAAUUCCAGCUCCAAUAGCGUAUAUUAAAGUUGUUGCAGUUAAAAAGCUCGUAGUUGAACUUCGGGAUCAAUUGAUUGGUCAUGCCUUGGUAUGUACUGUUCAUAUUGGUUCUCACCUUCUAAUGAACCAUAAUGUCAUUUAUUUGAUGUUAUGGGGAAUUAGGACUGUUACCUUGAAAAAAUUAGAGUGUUUAAAGCAGGCUCACGCUUGAAUACAUUAGCAUGGAAUAAUGAAAUAGGACAUCGCAUUCUAUUUUGUUGGUUUCUAGGAUCGAUGUAAUGAUUAAUAGGGAUAGUUGGGGGCAUUAGUAUUCAAUUGUCAGAGGUGAAAUUCUUGGAUUUAUUGAAGACUAACUACUGCGAAAGCAUUUGCCAAGGAUGUUUUCAUUAAUCAAGAACGAAAGUUAGGGGAUCGAAGACGAUCAGAUACCGUCGUAGUCUUAACCAUAAACUAUGCCGACUAGGGAUCGGAUGAUGUUAAUUUUUUAAUGUA
rnacentral:rRNA from 1 species